CAGAAAUUCUAUGUCCAAAUCAAGACCAAGUGGUAUCCACUCAGGAAAGGAUGAUGAUGUGGAUGCAGCUUCAGUAUGACCAUGAGGCUAGGAUAUGUACCCUCAGAAAUUAAGAUAUUACAAUGCAAAUUGAAUAACAAACAAAAUGUACCCAGCUGAAAGUGGUAGAUGGAACAGAAGCAAGGACCAAAGGGUUCACUCAGCUCUGGCUAACUGGUCCCUGGAAUACUUGUCAGUCUGGAGGCUGCACCUCAGAAGAUGGCUGUGGUUAUGAACCACAUGAAGCUGGGUCUAUAUAACUCAACACGGUGCCCUAUGUUCCAUUCAGAAGUGUUUGGACAUGCCACACCUUCAACUAAAAUAACUACAUGUUUAUCACCCUUAUCAACAUCAUGCUGUAGUCUGCCAACUUGAUCCUGACAAUUGUUUAAGAGGAAGGAAGAUGAAAGUCAUUGCUUAUAUUACCAUUGAAAUAUGAGGGCUUCCAGAAAAUCACCUCCCAGAGAGAGACUGUACCUCCUGAUGUGGGAGAAGACCCAGAACAUGAAGUUUCACUCUUUGUCAGAGAAUUUAAAGUAUCACUCUGUUGUCUACUUCAAUGUUGUUUCAAAUCAGUAUGUGCCAUAUCUACACACAAAUAAUAAGAAUCUGGUGGAUCGAGUGUGACAGGUAGUAGAUACUACCAUCUCCUCUUUUUCAGAAGAACUAUUGAGUCACUGAAAGGACAAGCAUCAGGCUAGUCACAAAAAUGAGAGUUUACUGAUUGAUUUGAUUGAAUAGAGUUGUAAGCAUGCUACAGAAUUUGGCUGUUAUGUGAUGCAACUGUUCAUCAACUAUCACAGAGUAUGCUUACGCCAGCUUGAAGAACAUAGUCUACUAUAUAUCCAGGCUCUACAGUGGAACACAGAGAUCUGAGACACAAAACUAUACAGUUAUGUCAUUGCAUUGACUGACAAAGAUAAGUACAUAGUUCUCAGCUACUGAACCCAAACCUGUCUUGAGUGAUAUCAUGCCGCCGGCCAUAAAGAUAAUGGAUGAAACCUCUGAACUGGAAACAGGUGGAUCUGCUUCUUCUCACUGUGAAGAGGCCCAGGAACUGGCUGAAAGUACAAGAUGGCUUUGACAUGUCUACAGAGAGUUUCUUUAAAAUUGCUUAAAUUAUCUUAUUAUUCAUCAAUGAAGUAGUCAAGAGACCUGAGUUCUAACACUGCCACAUGCUUGUCUGCCUUUCAACUUUGCCUCUUCUAACACUGAAGAUAACUAGAGAAGAGUCUUUUGUCAUUUGCCACACCAUUACCAC